rnacentral:lncRNA from 1 species
UUCUAAGAUCUGAAAUGUAAUGUUAGGAUUUGGUUAGAUUUGUAAUUGAAUCCUACUUGGAUUAGAAUUAAUAUUUAAAUCUGUUGGAGAUAAAUCAUGAUUUAAAUAUUAAUCAGAGGUUAAAAUCUAACUAGAUUAGGAUUAAUAUUUAAAUCUAUUAGAGAUUAAUUAAGAUAGAUUUAGAUAUUAAUUGGAGUAGAAAUCCUAAAUUGGGGUACGUUUUGGUGGAGUAUUAUAAAUAGCUCUUGAUGGUGCUCCUUUUUUGACAUGAGUACGGGAGAGAGAGAAAAGGCCUCUUGGUGCCGUACCAGAGAGAGAAAAAGAGAGAGAGAGAGUUAUUUAGUGCACCUAGUGCAUGGGUGCGCGCGGAUGAUUGUCUUCUUUAUGGGAUUAUAGAAGACGAGAGAAGG